rnacentral:rRNA from 1 species
AGAGUUUGAUCAUGGCUCAGGACGAACGCUGGCGGCGUGCCUAACACAUGCAAGUCGAACGAAGCUCGAUGCUUUGAGUUUUCGGACAAGAAGCAAAGAUGACUUAGUGGCGAACGGGUGAGUAAUGCGUGAGCAACCUGCCUUUCAUAGGGGGACAACAGUUGGAAACGACUGCUAAUACCGCAUAACAUAUUGAGUAGGCAUCUACUUGAUAUCAAAGGAGCAAUCCG